UAAGCCUUCGGGCUAAGACCGGCGCACGAGUGCGUAACGCGUAUACAAUCUGCCUUUUAUCCGGGGAUAGCCCGAAGAAAUUUGGAUUAAUACCCUAUGGUAUAAGAGCACGGCAUCGUGCACUUAUUAAAGCUACGGCGGUAAAAGAUGAGUAUGCGUUCUAUUAGCUAGUUGGAGAGGUAACGGCUCCCCAAGGCGACGAUAGAUAGGGGUUCUGAGAGGGAUGUCCCCCACACUGGUACUGAGAUACGGACCAGACUCCUACGGGAGGCAGCAGUGAGGAAUAUUGGACAAUGGUCGGAAGACUGAUCCAGCCAUGCCGCGUGCAGGAUGACGGCCUUAUGGGUUGUAAACUGCUUUUGUAAGGGAAGAAUAAGGAGUACGUGUACUUUGAUGACGGUACCUUACGAAUAAGCAUCGGCUAACUCCGUGCCAGCAGCCGCGGUAAUACGGAGGAUGCGAGCGUUAUCCGGAAUCAUUGGGUUUAAAGGGUCCGUAGGCGGGCUAAUAAGUCAGGGGUGAAAUCGUUCAGCUCAACUGAGCAACUGCCUUUGAAACUGUUAGUCUUGAAUAGUUGUGAAGUAGUUGGAAUGUGUAGUGUAGCGGUGAAAUGCUUAGAGAUUACACAGAACACCGAUAGCGAAGGCAUAUUACUAACAAUUGAUUGACGCUGAUGGACGAAAGCGUGGGGAGCGAACAGGAUUAGAUANCCUGGUAGUCCACGCUGUAAACGAUGGAUACUAGCUGUUUGGACGCGAGUUUGAGUGGCUAAGCGAA
rnacentral:rRNA from 1 species